rnacentral:rRNA from 1 species
AAUGGGCGAAAGCCUGACGGAGGAACGCCGCGUGAGGGAUGAAGGCCUCUGGGCUGUAAACCUCUUUUCUCAAGGAAGAAGAUCUGACGGUACUUGAUGAAUAAGCCACGGCUAAUUCCGUGCCAGCAGCCGCGGUAAUACGGGAGUGGCAAGCGUUUCCGGAAUUAUUGGGCGUAAAGCGUCCGCAGGCGGUUUUACAAGUCUGUCGUUAAAGCGUGGAGCUUAACUCCAUUUCGGCGAUGGAAACUGUAGAACUAGAGUGUGGUAGGGGCAGAGGGAAUUCCCGGUGUAGCGGUGAAAUGCGUAGAUAUCGGGAAGAACACCAGCGGCGAAGGCGCUCUGCUGGGCCAUAACUGACGCUCAUGGACGAAAGCCAGGGGAGCGAAAGGGAUUAGAUACCCCUGUAGUCCUGGCCGUAAACGAUGAACACUAGGUGUCGGGGGAAUCGACCCCCUCGGUAUCGUAGCCAACGCGUUAAGUGUUCCGCCUGGGGAGUACGCACGCAAGUGUGAAACUCAAAGGAAUUGACGGGGGCCCGCACAAGCGGUGGAGUAUGUGGUUUAAUUCGAUGCAACGCGAAGAACCUUACCAGGGUUUGACAUCCUGCGAAUCCCUUGGAAACGAGGGAGUGCCUUCGGGAACGCAGUGACAGGUGGUGCAUGGCUGUCGUCAGCUCGUGUCGUGAGAUGUUGGGUUAAGUCCCGCAACGAGCGCAACCCACGUCUUUAGUUGCCAGCAUUCAGUUGGGCACUCUAGAGAGACCGCCGGUGAUAAACCGGAGGAAGGUGUGGAUGACGUCAAGUCAUCAUGCCCCUUACAUCCUGGGCUACACACGUACUACAAUGCUACGGACAAAGGGCAGCAAACUCGCGAGAGCUAGCAAAUCCCAUAAACCGUGGCUCAGUUCAGAUCGUAGGCUGCAACUCGCCUACGUGAAGGAGGAAUCGCUA